UCCAUGAUGGUGUAAUGGCUAACAUCGCUGUCUUUCACACAGCAGCUCGGGGUUCGAUUCCCCGUCAUGGAA